ACUUUAUUAAUACUCGACUGUUCAAGACAUUCAACGAAUGUCCGACCCAGUAGUUGAAAAAAAUGAUUGCGAGUCACAAAAGUACGUCAGCUGGAGUAUUUUCUGUCCUUGGGAUGUGAAAGAUUUCAAAAUAUUUUAAGGUUGACAUAAGAUCUUUCACCUUCUGAAGAUACUUCAUCAUAAUAGGGUCUCAUGCUUCAAAUUCACCCUUGACUUGUUCAGCAAU
rnacentral:lncRNA from 1 species